UACAGAGGUCUCAAGCGUUGUUCGGAUUCAUUGGGCGUAAAGGGUGUGUAGGUGGCGCCGUAAGUCGGGUGUGAAAUUUCGGAGCUUAACUCCGAAACUGCAUUCGAUACUGCGGUGCUUGAGGACUGGAGAGGAGACUGGAAUUCAUGGUGUAGCAGUGAAAUGCGUAGAGAUCAUGAGGAAGACCAGUGGCGAAGGCGGGUCUCUGGGCAGAUACUGACACUGAGACGCGAAAGCGUGGGGAGCAAACAGG
rnacentral:rRNA from 1 species